rnacentral:rRNA from 1 species
UACAGAGGGGGCAAGCGUUGUUCGGAAUUACUGGGCGUAAAGGGCGCGUAGGCGGCCUUCUAAGUCGAACGUGAAAUCCCCGGGCUCAACCCGGGAACUGCGUCCGAUACUGGAAGGCUUGAAUCCGGGAGAGGGAUGUGGAAUUCCAGGUGUAGCGGUGAAAUGCGUAGAUAUCUGGAGGAACACCGGUGGCGAAGGCGACAUCCUGGACCGGUAUUGACGCUGAGGCGCGAAAGCUAGGGGAGCAAACAGG